rnacentral:rRNA from 1 species
CAGCCGCCGCGGUAAUACGAAGGGUGCAAGCGUUACUCGGAAUUACUGGGCGUAAAGCGUGCGUAGGUGGUGGUUUAAGUCCGUUGUGAAAGCCCUGGGCUCAACCUGGGAAUUGCAGUGGAUACUGGGUCACUAGAGUGUGGUAGAGGAUAGUGGAAUUUCCGGUGUAGCAGUGAAAUGCGUAGAGAUCGGAAGGAACAUCUGUGGCGAAGGCGACUAUCUGGGCCAACACUGACACUGAGGCACGAAAGCGUGGGGAGCAAACAGGAUUAGAUACCCGCGUAGUCCCUGUCUCUUAUAA